rnacentral:rRNA from 1 species
CCUACGGGUGGCAGCAGUGGGGAAUAUUGGACAAUGGGGGGAACCCUGAUCCAGCCAUGCUGCGUGUGUGAAGAAGGCCCUCGGGUUGUAAAGCACUUUCAGUGAGGAAGAACGCCUGGUGGUUAAUACCCAUCAGGAAAGACAUCACUCACAGAAGAAGCACCGGCUAACUCCGUGCCAGCAGCCGCGGUAAUACGGAGGGUGCGAGCGUUAAUCGGAAUUACUGGGCGUAAAGCGCGCGUAGGUGGCUUGAUAAGCCGGUUGUGAAAGCCCCGGGCUCAACCUGGGAACGGCAUCCGGAACUGUCAAGCUAGAGUGCAGGAGAGGAAGGUAGAAUUCCCGGUGUAGCGGUGAAAUGCGUAGAGAUCGGGAGGAAUACCAGUGGCGAAGGCGGCCUUCUGGACUGACACUGACACUGAGGUGCGAAAGCGUGGGUAGCAAACAGGAUUAGAUACCCUUGUAGUC